rnacentral:rRNA from 1 species
AUUGAACGCUGGCGGCAUGCCUUACACAUGCAAGUCGAACGGCAGCACGGGUGCUUGCACCUGGUGGCGAGUGGCGAACGGGUGAGUAAUAUAUCGGAACGUACCUUAUUGUGGGGGAUAACGCAGCGAAAGCUGUGCUAAUACCGCAUAAUCCCUUAGGGGGAAAGCGGGGGACCGUAAGGCCUCGCGCAAUUAGAGCGGCCGAUACCUGAUUAGCUAGUUGGUGAGGUAAAGGCUCACCAAGGCGACGAUCAGUAGCUGGUCUGAGAGGACGAUCAGCCACACUGGGACUGAGACACGGCCCAGACUCCUACGGGAGGCAGCAGUGGGGAAUUUUGGACAAUGGGGGCAACCCUGAUCCAGCAAUGCCGCGUGAGUGAAGAAGGCCUUCGGGUUGUAAGCUCUUUUGUCAGGGAAGAAACAGCAGCUCUAACACAGUAUGCGAAUGACGGUACCUGAAGAAUAAGCACCGGCUAACUACGUGCCAGCAGCCGCCGUAA